rnacentral:rRNA from 1 species
UGGGGAAUUUUGGACAAUGGGCGAAAGCCUGAUCCAGCAAUGCCGCGUGCAGGACGAAGGCCUUCGGGUUGUAAACUGCUUUUGUACGGAACGAAACGGUCUCUUCUAAUACAAGGGGCUAAUGACGGUACCGUAAGAAUAAGCACCGGCUAACUACGUGCCAGCAGCCGCGGUAAUACGUAGGGUGCGAGCGUUAAUCGGAAUUACUGGGCGUAAAGCGUGCGCAGGCGGUUAUAUAAGACAGAUGUGAAAUCCCCGGGCUCAACCUGGGACCUGCAUUUGUGACUGUAUAGCUAGAGUACGGUAGAGGGGGAUGGAAUUCCGCGUGUAGCAGUGAAAUGCGUAGAUAUGCGGAGGAACACCGAUGGCGAAGGCAAUCCCCUGGACCUGUACUGACGCUCAUGCACGAAAGCGUGGGGAGCAAACAGGAUUAGAUACCCCAGUAGUCCCUGAGCGGGCUGGCAAGGCGCAU